CAGUUUUCGUCUCCAAAUAACAGUUUGUCUUGGCACCUGGAAUUUGCUCAUCUGUGCGGAAAACUACAACUGGUUUGGAAGUGGACAAGAUAAUAACCACGAAUACAUAAUAUUGCAGCAAUGAUUCUUGCUCUGCUAUUCCAUCUUCCUUGGUGGAUGUUACAUUUAGCCUUUUCGGCUUUGGUUACAGGU